rnacentral:rRNA from 1 species
GAUGAACGCUGGCGGCGUGCCUAAUACAUGCAAGUCGAGCGAACAGACGAGGAGCUUGCUCCUCUGAUGUUAGCGGCGGACGGGUGAGUAACACGUGGAUAACCUACCUAUAAGACUGGGAUAACUUCGGGAAACCGGAGCUAAUACCGGAUAACAUAUUGAACCGCAUGGUUCAACAGUGAAAGACGGUCUUGCUGUCACUUAUAGAUGGAUCCGCGCCGCAUUAGCUAGUUGGUAAGGUAACGGCUUACCAAGGCAACGAUGCGUAGCCGACCUGAGAGGGUGAUCGGCCACACUGGAACUGAGACACGGUCCAGACUCCUACGGGAGGCAGCAGUAGGGAAUCUUCCGCAAUGGGCGAAAGCCUGACGGAGCAACGCCGCGUGAGUGAAGAAGGUCUUCGGAUCGUAAAACUCUGUUAUUAGGGAAGAACAAAUGUGUAAGUAACUAUGCACGUCUUGACGGUACCUAAUCAGAAAGCCACGGCUAACUACGUGCCAGCAGCCGCGGUAA